UACAGAGGUCUCAAGCGUUGUUCGGAUUCAUUGGGCGUAAAGGGUGCGUAGGCGGCGCGGUAAGUCGGGUGUGAAAUCUCGGAGCUUAACUCCGAAACUGCAUUCGAUACUGCCGUGCUUGAGGACUGGAGAGGAGACUGGAAUUUACGGUGUAGCAGUGAAAUGCGUAGAGAUCGUAAGGAAGACCAGUGGCGAAGGCGGGUCUCGUGGACAGUUCCUGACACUGAGGCACGAAGGCCAGGGGAGCAAACGGG
rnacentral:rRNA from 1 species